rnacentral:rRNA from 1 species
GAUGAACGCUGGCGGCGUGCCUAAUACAUGCAAGUCGAACGAAACUUCUUUAUCACCGAGUGCUUGCACUCACCGAUAAAGAGUUGAGUGGCGAACGGGUGAGUAACCCGUUGGCAACCUGCCCAAAAGAGGGGGAUAACACUUGGAAACAGGUGCUAAUACCGCAUAACCAUAGUUACCGCAUGGUAACUAUGUAAAAGGUGGCUAUACUACCGCUUUUGGAUGGGCCCGCGGCGCAUUAGCUAGUUGGUAGGGUAAAGGCUUACCAAGGCAAUGAUGCGUAGCCGAGUUGAGAGGUUGAUCGGCCACAUUGGGACUGAGACACGGCCCAAACUCCUACGGGAGGCAGCAGUAGGGAAGCUUCCACGAUGGGCGAAAGCCUGAUGGAGCAACGCCGCGUGGGUGAAGAAGGGCUGCGGAUCGUAAAACCCUGUUGUUAGAGAAGAAAGUUCGUGAGAGUAACUGUUCACGUUUCGACGGUACCUAACCAGAAAGCCACGGCUAACUACGUG